rnacentral:rRNA from 2 species
UGGGGAAUAUUGGACAAUGGGCGCAAGCCUGAUCCAGCCAUGCCGCGUGGAUGAUGAAGGCCUUAGGGUUGUAAAGUCCUUUUAACGGGGAAGAUAAUGACGGUACCCGUAGAAUAAGCCCCGGCUAACUUCGUGCCAGCAGCCGCGGUAAUACGAAGGGGGCUAGCGUUGCUCGGAAUCACUGGGCGUAAAGCGCACGUAGGCGGCUUUCUAAGUCAGGGGUGAAAUCCUGGAGCUCAACUCCAGAACUGCCUUUGAUACUGGAAAGCUUGAGUUCGGGAGAGGUGAGUGGAACUGCGAGUGUAGAGGUGAAAUUCGUAGAUAUUCGCAAGAACACCAGUGGCGAAGGCGGCUCACUGGCCCGAUACUGACGCUGAGGUGCGAAAGCGUGGGGAGCAAACA